CUUAAGCAUAUCAAUAAGCGGAGGAAAAGAAACUAACAAGGAUUCCCCUAGUAACUGCGAGUGAAGCGGGAAAAGCUCAAAUUUGAAAUCUGGCGGCUCUGUCGUCCGAGUUGUAUUCUGGAGAAGCGUCUUCCGCGCCGGACCGUGUACAAGUCCCUUGGAACAGGGCGUCAUAGAGGGUGAGAAUCCCGUCUUUGACACGGACCCCCGGUGCUAUGCGAUGCGCUCUCGAAGAGUCGAGUUGUUUGGGAAUGCAGCUCAAAACGGGUGGUAAAUUCCAUCUAAAGCUAAAUAUUGGCGAGAGACCGAUAGCGAACAAGUACCGUGAGGGAAAGAUGAAAAGCACUUUGGAAAGAGAGUAAAACAGUACGUGAAAUUGUUGAAAGGGAAACGCUUGAAGUCAGUCGCGUCUGACGGAACUCAGCCUUGCUUCUGCUCGGCGCACUUUCCGUCCCGACGGGCCAGCAUCGGUUUCGGGCGGCGGACACUGGCGUGGGGGAAGGUGGCAGCUCCGGCUGUGUUAUAGCCCCUUGUCGCAAACGUCGGCCGGGACCGAGGAAUCCGGCGCAAGCCUGGGAUGCUGGCGUAAUGGCUUUAAACGACCCGUCUUGAAACACGGACCAAGGAGUGCUACGUGCUCGCGAGUGUUUGGGUGGAAAACCCGAGCGCGCAAUGAAAGUGAAAGUCGAUACCCCUCUGGGGGGGCACCGACGCCCGAGCCUGAUGUUUUCGGACGGCCUUGCGGUAGAGCGAGUGCGUUGCGACCCGAAAGAUGGUGAACUAUUCCUGAGGAGGGUGAAGCCAGAGGAAACUCUGGUGGAGGCUCGUAGCGGUUCUGACGUGCAAAUCGAUCGCAGGACUUGGGUAUAGGGGCGAAAGACUAAUCGAACCAUCUAGUAGCUGGUUCCUGCCGAAGUU
rnacentral:rRNA from 1 species